UUACGGGAGGCAGCAGUGGGGAAUAUUGGACAAUGGGGGCAACCCUGAUCCAGCAAUGCCGCGUGAGUGAUGAAGGCCUUAGGGUUGUAAAGCUCUUUCGGCGGGGACGAUGAUGACGGUACCCGCAGAAGAAGCCCCGGCUAACUUCGUGCCAGCAGCCGCGGUAAUACGAAGGGGGCGAGCGUUGUUCGGAUUUACUGGGCGUAAAGGGCGCGCAGGCGGUCUUGAAAGUCAGGCGUGAAAGCCCCGGGCUUAACCUGGGAAUUGCGCUUGAUACUCUGAGACUGGAGUACGGGAGAGGAGAGUGGAAUUCCCAGUGUAGAGGUGAAAUUCGUAGAUAUUGGGAAGAACACCAGUGGCGAAGGCGGCUCUCUGGACCGUAACUGACGCUGAGGCGCGAAAGCGUGGGGAGCAAACAGGAUUAGAUACCCCGGU
rnacentral:rRNA from 1 species